rnacentral:pre_miRNA from 1 species
AUUUAUUACUGAACUUUGCAGAAGGUUUCCAAGGGGCCACUAAAUUUAGUGACCCCGUAGAAACUUUUUGCAAAGUUCAGUGAUGAAA